rnacentral:hammerhead_ribozyme from 1 species
GCACUGCUGAGGAGUCCCACAAUAGGACAAAACAGCCGUCCAAUGC